rnacentral:rRNA from 1 species
UACGAAGGGGGCUAGCGUUGCUCGGAAUCACUGGGCGUAAAGCGCACGUAGGCGGCUUGUUAAGUCAGGGGUGAAAUCCUGGAGCUCAACUCCAGAACUGCCUUUGAUACUGGCGAGCUUGAGUUCGGGAGAGGUGAGUGGAACUGCGAGUGUAGAGGUGAAAUUCGUAGAUAUUCGCAAGAACACCAGUGGCGAAGGCGGCUCACUGGCCCGAUACUGACGCUGAGGUGCGAAAGCGUGGGGAGGCAAACAGG